CAUUUGCAAGCAUUUAUUCUAUAUUUAGUUCAAAACAUACAGGACUAGGUGCAGAGAACAAAAAAGUGAAUAAAACAGCUUCACCCACAAGUAGCUUGUAGUUCAGUGGGAAACAAUCUAAAUAAUAAUAGUAACAACAACAGUAGCUUCGCAUUUAUGCUCUCCAGGGCACAUUGGGCUAAAUGCUUUAUAUACAGACAAAUAUAAAAGAGAUUGAAAUACCAAGUAAUAAAGUGCUUUGCAAUUAGACAAAGUCGCAAAUAAAUUAAAGAUGACCUUGUUACCACUACUCAUCUUUAGAUGUCUGUCCCUCUUGGUUCCCCAUUGAGGCUGCAAGCUCCAUGAAUCAGAAGAGGACUCGUCCCUCUUUGUGUCUUCUGUGGUGGCCUCAGCAAAGUAUGUGUCAUUCCAAGAUUGUCCACUCAUUGGUUACUGCCCUUCCAGAGCCAAAAGGACCAGAGGAAAGGCUGCCUGGUCAGAGGUCAACGCCAUUGGAGGUCCAGUCAACAGGGCCUCACUGAGGUCACUUCGUCUGGCUCCUGCCAUCGGCCACACCCAGCUGGUAAGGAGAAGUUGUCUUUCCUUGAAGGGCCUGAGAGUAGAAAUAUCUACUUUUCCCAGGAGGUCCUGAGUUCUGACUCCUGUUCUUUGAAAAUUCUUCUCUUGGUCUUACGCCCUCUUCCCAGCUUUACUCUCCGAAACAUCCUUUGAGUGCAAGAGCGGUGCCUUUCACAUCCUCUCCUUCACUCGCCCUCCUGGUCAGCAGCAUCUCCUCCCUCCCAGGUGCCCCAGGGUUUCAGCCACUCCAGGUUCCACUGAGAUGGAAAUGCAUCCACACUAAGUCGUGGGAAAGGACUGAGCAUCAGAACCAGCAUCCGACUCUGGACCUGCCCCAGCUCUGCCUCUGCACCUCUGAAGAGUAACUCCCAUCCUGCCUUCUGGGCUCAUUAGGAGAAUCAAACAAGAUGACGUGUUAAUGGGCUUUACCACCUGGACCAUGUGAAACAGAGCUGAGGGGUCAUUAUUACCUGCAUUUUAAAGAGAAACCUUUAGGUUUUGAGUUUUAAAGCAGUUUUACUAAACCUAAUGAUGGAAGUUCAGACCAAGUUCAGACCUUUCUUUUCUGGAAAGAAGAGAAAUAUGGGGACACCAGGAUUGCUCAGGCCCAGGCAAGUGACAUCACACAAGUAGGCGCAAGUCUUUGGUCGGUCUGUGUCCCUUCUCUGUCACUCAGGAGCACAGCCUUCCUUUUGCAGCUUUUUUGAAACUGUAUGAUGAAAUAGAAGAGAAUUGGUGUCACGCAGAAUAGAACAUGAGCUCUGCUAACCUUCUCCAUCGACUCUGGAAGGCCACUUUCCUGCUCUAAGAAGCAGUGGCCUGGUGAGACUUUCCUGAGCAGCAGCCAUCUCUAAGGGCUGCUGGGCAAAAGCAAACUGGCUGGACUUUGGGCUCAGAAGAACCACAACAGCACAGACAAACAAACAACUGUCUAAGUAGAAAUGCAUUGGGCAAUGCCCGAGUAUAUAGAGGUUCUUGCACAGCAUUGUUCCUGAGACGGGGCAGACCAGAGACAGAGACCCCUGACAGGGAAAGGGAACGGGCUUGGGUCUCGCCAUGUGCCUAUCCCGCGGGCUCAGUUGAAUGCAUAACUCUCGUCGGAGCUGAACUUCUGGCUGUAAACAUGUGGUUGGAUUUACUUUGCUUUUCCAAAGUGGACACUUGGGCCAGCCUCACAACAACACAAAAGUGUAUGCAUUAUUUACCAGCCACUAGAAAAGUCGGCUUAGGAGGCAAAGAACAGGUUUCCAUUCUAACCCCCAUCAGAGAGCCAUAGAAGCGUGGGACAUUAGAGCUUUCCAGAACCUCAGAGAUUUCCCUUCAUUGUUCCCUCAAUCUUUGGGUGAGGAAACUGAGGCCAAGUCUGUAUCCUGCCCAAGACCACGUGCUCACUGAUGGUUGGGACCAGAUCUUUUUCAUUUCUAGGCCCUCAUUGUCUGGCAGAGUGCCUGAGUCAUGGUGGGAGCUCAAAAAAUGAUGACAAACACAUGGACAAAAAUAUUGACAAAAGGGUAAAAAUAGUGGAAUGAGAUGAGAGAUGUCUGCCCCUGUCCCUGUCCCACGGCUGUUCCCGUAGAAAUGGUGGCGUCUCUGUAAGCACAAGAACACCUUGCUUCAAAACAGAGUUCAUGUUGUUAAAACAGGGUGAGGCCAUUUCAAGUUCCAGUUUGUGAUCUGACCAACUUGAGGGGCUAAGGUGAGCUUCUUCCUUCUUUGGGACAGUGUUGAGACCUAUGUCCUUUGAACUCUGCCCUGGUUCAGUCCUCUCCGUCUUCUCUGCCCUAAUUGCUGCCUGAUGAAGGAUACUGAAGACAUUUAGCUGGCCAGGAUGUGCGCUGUGACUGUGUCCAUCUUUGUUGACCUCCCCACCCAGGCUGAGUGAGACUUUCCCAUCCUCUCAAACCUAUCCUUUCAUAAAAUCCUUUCACCCGUAAGCUGCAAUAUUGGAAUCAC
ensembl:lncRNA